rnacentral:misc_RNA from 1 species
GCCCGGCCCGCCAUGGCUCGGGCCCGUUCGCAGCAAUUGUGGGAAAUGAAUCGGUGGUUGAAUCCUAUAUAAAAGUGUGUCGAAUGGAUGCUAGUGCAUGGUGCGAGCAUGGCAUUUGCGUGCUGUGCUUGUGCCGACGUGCGAGCAGACAUGCGUUGCACUGGGCAUGGGAGCUUCGGUUGGCCAACGUUUGCAAACUAACUCCUUGGGCUAGACUCGAAUCACGACGAUGAACCCAGUGCUAUUGGGGCCGAUCUCCAUGCUUGCGUGUGUCAAUUGGAUGCUGGUGCAAGGUGUGGGCGUGGCAUUUCUGUGCUAUUCCUGUGCUGGCGUGCCGGCGGAUAGGCGAUGCACUGGGCAUGGUGUGAGUUCUCGGUGGCAUAGGCUUUUGAGGACUUUGGGUCUGGUGGUAGAGCCGACUUUAUUGGGGUCGAUCUCCUUGCUCUCGAGGGUGUUAAGUGAAAGUCGGUACAAGGUGUGGGCAUGGUGCUUACGUGCUGUGCUUGUGUCGAGUGCGGGCGGACAUGCAACGCCAUCGGGCAUGGGGUGAGCUCCUGAUGGGGAAGGCUUGCAGGGAGUUGGGAUGCUACAUUACUCGGGGUCGUGGAUGGACGUCGGGGCUGUUGCGAUCGUGCAUUGCUCAGGUUGUGGGAAUGAGCUGGCCCGGUGCUUCCGCAAGUGUUGAGGCAUUACAAGUGUUGGGAGAGGGCGUGGCGUUACGAUGCCGUGCUUGAUCCUAUGCGCGAACGAUGUCGAGGCAUGAGUUGUGGCAUUGAGUGGUAGGCGCUUUCCUUCGAUUGCGGUGGUGCAUUGUUGCUUGCGUCGAUGUGUCCCUUUGUGAUCGUUGCCUUUGCUUAGGUUGAGGGGACGAGCCUGGUGCCUUUACUUUGCUGAAGUUGUGCGAAUGUUGAGGUGAGGGCGUGGCGUUUCAUGCCACAUGUGCUCGAGCCGAUGCAUGAGCUCGCGGAGGCAUGUGUUGAGAACAUUGUACGGCGAGUUUCUUCGGCUGCGGUGAUUGCACUGUUACAAAGCCCCAUUCUUUCCCUUCCCGGUGCUUGCAUUUGCUACUAAGGUUGCGGGGAUGAGCCUGGUGCCAGAUGUUUUGUUGAGGCGACGCGAGUGCUUGGUGAGGGUGCGGCGUUCGGCGCUGUGCUCAAUCCGAUGUGCGAGCUGCUGAGGCAAGGCUGAGGCACUGUAUGGGGAAUUCUCGUGGCCGAGGUCACUGCUUUACGUCCAGAAUCAGACGGGUCCCUUCGUGUUGCUUGUAUUUCACUGUUCGCUUCGUCCCUCCUCGGAUUUGUUUCGCGCCAAGCGGUGUGAGUAGCGGUUCCAUUCGGCGUUUUGACUUCCCAUCGUGCUUCUGCUCGUCGGGGGGGCAAUUCGUUGGGUGGGAUCACUGCUCAACGUACGUGGCGG